rnacentral:lncRNA from 1 species
GAGCAGGGCAAGCUGGAACUUGGUCCCUCAAAGUAGGGAGGCACUUUCUCCAAUCUCCUGAACUCUGAAAGAGACCAGGACGGGGGCAGGUGCUGGGGUCUUUAGUGGCAGACCUCUGUCUGGCAGGGCCAUGGAGGAAGGUGAAAUAUCCAGGCUGGACCCGAGCAUGCCACGCUCCAAUAUGCAUAGGACUGAACUGGGGCCGAUAGCUAGGAAGACCUGGAGACUCCUGCCUGCACUUACACCCUGAGACCCGCUUGGAGGGCUGCGGGAAGUAGGAGACCUGUCCUAACUGGCCUUCAUUCCCAGUUGUGACUUCCCUCCUGAAAAAGGUUUUCUUGCUCAACUGACAAUAACAGAGAAGGAAACAAAAACAAACCGAAACGCAGCCUGAGGACUAAGCCAAUAAUAUCACAGACCAAGAGAGAUGCUGAGAGACCAGGGUUUUUCUCAGGAGAAAGCAGUGAGCACGAAGACCCGUCAGUCCUAGUAGGUAUGCAAUCAGUGUUACCACUGCUUAGCAUCUCUGGGAAUUAGAAAGGUAGGCAUCUCAGAUGAGGCUUCCUGAGGGUGAAAAAGCACAUCCAGUCACCUUGACAAGGAGGCAAGAAGCGCAAAAAGUCAUCAAGCCAGCCUAGG